AGGCGGCGCGCGUCAACCGGCCGCGGCGGAGAAGAGGAACAGGACAAUUUUGCCGGUUUCCUGUCCUGGCCAACGAAUAGGCAGACGAGCCUCUGACCCGCCCGCGCC
rnacentral:sRNA from 1 species